rnacentral:rRNA from 1 species
AGCGAACGCUGGCGGCAGGCUUAACACAUGCAAGUCGAACGCACCGCAAGGUGAGUGGCAGACGGGUGAGUAACACGUGGGAACGUACCCUUCAGUUCGGAACAACCCAGGGAAACUUGGGCUAAUACCGGAUACGUCCGUAAGGAGGAAGAUUUAUCGCUGAAGGAUCGGCCCGCGUCUGAUUAGCUAGUUGGUGGGGUAACGGCCCACCAAGGCGACGAUCAGUAGCUGGCCUGAGAGGAUGAUCAGCCUCACUGGGACUGAGACACGGCCCAGACUCCUACGGGAGGCAGCAGUGGGGAAUAUUGGACAAUGGGCGCAAGCCUGAUCCAGCCAUGCCGCGUGGAUGAUGAAGGCCCUAGGGUUGUAAAGUCCUUUCGGCGGGGAAGAUAAUGACGGUACCCGCAGAAGAAGCCCCGGCUAACUUCGUGCCAGCAGCCGCCGUAACAC